rnacentral:misc_RNA from 1 species
GAUGAAGAACGUAGCGAAAUGCGAUAAGUAAUGUGAAUUGCAGAAUUCAGUGAAUCAUCGAAUCUUUGAACGCACAUUGCGCCCGCUAGUAUUCUGGCGGGCAUGCCUGUUCGAGCGUCAUUUCAACCAUCAAGCCCCAGGCUUGAGUUGGGGACCUGCGGCUGCCGCAGGCCCUGAAAACCAGUGGCGGGCUCGCUGUCACACCGGGCGUAGUAGAUUUUAUCUCGCUCAGGGCGUGCUGCGGGUUCCGGCCGUUAAAAAGCCUUUUUUACCCAAGGUUGACCUCGGAUCAGGUAGGAAGACCCGCUGAACUUAAGCAUAUCAAUAAGCGGAGGA